GACGAACGCUGGCGGCGUGCCUAAUACAUGCAAGUGGGACGCAAGGAAACACACUGUGCUUGCACACCGUGUUUUCUUGAGUCGCGAACGGGUGAGUAACGCGUAGGUAACCUGCCUAUUAGCGGGGGAUAACUAUUGGAAACGAUAGCUAAUACCGCAUAAUAUUAAUUAUUGCAUGAUAAUUGAUUGAAAGAUGCAAGCGCAUCACUAGUAGAUGGACCUGCGUUGUAUUAGCUAGUUGGUAAGGUAAGAGCUUACCAAGGCGACGAUACAUAGCCGACCUGAGAGGGUGAUCGGCCACACUGGGACUGAGACACGGCCCAGACUCCUACGGGAGGCAGCAGUAGGGAAUCUUCGGCAAUGGACGAAAGUCUGACCGAGCAACGCCGCGUGAGUGAAGAAGGUUUUCGGAUCGUAAAGCUCUGUUGUAAGUCAAGAACGUGUGUGAGAGUGGAAAGUUCACACAGUGACGGAGCUACCAGAAAGGC
rnacentral:rRNA from 1 species